rnacentral:tRNA from 1 species
GGGGUUGUGGCUCAGUUGGUAGAGUGCUUGCCUCACAUGUAUGAGGCACUGGGUUCUAUUCUCAGCACCACA